GGCAUUUAUGAGUUUGUUUAUUGAUAAUUUCAGCUUUAAAAACUAGAGGCUCUAAAGAGCCUGUGUCGCUCACCUUGGUCUAUGUGAAUAUUAAACAAAGGAAGCAGAUGGAUUCAUGACAAAGUUGUGUUUUGGUGAUAGUGAUGUGUUUGUAAAUCUUACUUUACUAAACAGUCUUGCUGCUUACAAUUAUUUCUAUCUAUAAUGAACUUGGCCCAGUAGUUUCAGUGGAAAUGUUAAUAAAAAUUUACAAAUUUUAUAAAAAUUUUAUAAAAAUUGACUAUAAAGGACAAUAACUCCUUAGGGGGUCAAUUGACCAUUUCGGUCAUGUUGACUUAUUUGUAAAUCUUACUUUGCUGAACAUGAUUGCUGGGUACAAUUUAUCUUUAUCUAUAAUAAUAUUCAAGAUAACAACC
rnacentral:lncRNA from 1 species